CGGGCCGCCCUCAGCCGCCCGGUGGUCACAUGGCGCCCCUACCGCAGCGUUGGGCUCUUGGCGCCGUGCCGGGUGUUGGUUUCGGGCAAGAUGGGCAUUGCGUCAGGUCUGGGGGUGCUCGGGCGGGCUGAGCUCAGCCGGAGAGAGAGGCGGAGUGUUUCCCGCCGGAUGACUGUUAAGGAGAAUUUGACUGGAAGGACAGUGCAUCUCUGCCAUGAGUGAAUAUCCAAGUGAGAGGAUGAAUUUACUUUAAAUAUAUGAUCAGAUUAGUUCUAAUUCCUUUCAUUGAUGGACAAGAAACAUAAAUUAGCAAUGGAAUUACUAGAAUUUUAAGCUGUGAUUCAGAAACCAGUGGAGUCACUGACUCACCAAUUCCUUCAAUCAAAGAACUAUUCAUUAAGUGUGGUUUGGGUUGGAGCUGCUGUUGACAACCUACCUACAGAUCUGCUGAGUGGCUUCAAAUUCCCAAAACAUUAAAGAAGCAGAAAAAUAGUUUGUUUCAUAGCACCAGGUGGAGCAGACACAGAUGCCAGUCCCCUUGCUUUGACUCCCAUGCCUUCUGAAUGGAAAGACAUUGCCCCUCCUUUUCACCCAAGCAGUGGAUGUUUUCUUAACUCCAAUUAUAAGUAUUGUAGCAUGCUUUAAAAAAAGAUUAAAAAAAAAUCAGGGAGUACUUUUUAUUCUUUAAGUGACGUCUUCAUAAAUGUCUUGCUCUUCAUCUGUUAUAACAUUAAAGAACUGGGAUUACUUAGUUUAGAAUAAUGAUGCAUAACAUGUAUCUUGAGCUAUUUAAAAUAGUUAAUAGUGUAAAGAAAAGCCCUCUAGCCCCCCUAGAACCUCUUCCUCUUGAUGAGACACAUUCUUUUGAGGGACUUUUUAUUUUCAGAUUCACUGGUGCUGACACUUGACACUUGAGGGAAUGAUGCAUUUGGUGCUAUUUGGACUCUUGAGUCCAUUCUCAGUACUUGUGCGUACACUGGGAGCUCACUCUAAGUGGAAAUUUGGACAUCACAUGAGGCUGUUUUGGCUACAAAGGGAACUUUAAAUACAGUGUAUUAAAAUAUUUUGGACACUUUCCCUUUGGGAUGUAUUUAUCCGUUAAUGAAAUCUGUGUGGAACUUCGGAACAGAUUCAUGGAGAAGUGCCCACAGGUUGUGCUCUAGUACAGGGUUUAAUUAAUGCGGUCACUCUGGGAGGUAUUGUUGUGGAGAGCCCAGGCAUAUGGUACAUUCAAGCAGCUCUUUGAAAUGCUUGUGAUACCAUCUCUGAAUUAGUAUGCAGAAUGCCUGUUUCUUAGGGGUUUAGUGUGCCUGGGAGUAGAGGGAUUUCAGUCUCCUGCUUUAAUCCAAUCUUGUUUUAUUGAAUUAUUUAUUAUUUGCAAGUGAUGGAAAAGGUUGGUUCAUGCUUCUAAGGAAUGGAUGUGAGAUGUUAUAGAGCGAAGCGCCUGUUUUUAAACUGGGGGCAGGAAUCCAACAUGCCACACUUGCUUUCUGUAUAAUUGAAAUAUAAACCAUGAGUGAAUAUGAAAAGAUCUUCGUGAUAUAAUUUAAAAUAGACCAAAAAAUUGAAUACCUUAGUAUUAAUAAUUUGUGCUUCAGUUGUUUUAAUUAGUUAUUUUUACUUUU